UGGGAACUCUAACAGUGAGAGAAGCCAUAAGAUGUGAAGCUCACCUUAGGCUUCCAAGCACAAUGACAAAGAAAGAGAUCGACGAGGUGGCAGAAGGAACAAUAAUGGAAAUGGGUCUCCAAGACUGUGCAGAUAUAAUUAUAGGGAACUGGCAUUUGAAGGGAGUUAGCGUGGGGGAGAAGAAAAGACUAAGCAUUGCACUCCAGAUACUUACUAAGCCAGAGCUCUUGUUUUUAGAUGAACCUACCACUGGGCUCGACAGUGCCUCUGCAUUCUUCGUGGUUCGAAUUCUCAGGAACAUUGCAGAAGAUGGGAGGACUGUGGUGUCAUCGAUUCACCAGCCGAGUAGUGAGGUUUUCGCACUUUUCGAUGAGCUUUGCUUGCUGUCUGGUGGGG
rnacentral:lncRNA from 1 species